CAAAUGGGGAUACCCAGGCGUUAUAGUGUUAAUUAUUAUUAAAUAAGAAUAUGGAACUGGCAAGAUAUUAACGUUGACCAAAAAUAUAUAUUAGCAGAAAAUAAAAUCAGGUUUCCAUUUGGUCUGGGCGAUUGUAUAACCAUGUUUAAGCCGGCAACUAGACUUGAUGGUACGAAGUAUUGCCAUAGCAGCUGUGCAGCAACAAUGAAAGUAACAAUCAGUAAUUAUUAGCAGCAAAAGGAGAUAGCAAUGACAAUUCUGCCAAGGCAUACCUAUGAAAUACAAUGUAUAGUGGUCUAUACAUUCU